GGAGAUAUAGCUCAGUGGUAGAGUGCUUGCCUAGCAUGCAUUAUGCCUUGGGUUCAAUUCCCAGUUACCACCU
rnacentral:tRNA from 1 species